AUUUGUUAGUUGAGAACCAAAAACCAAUGAUGCCAUAAAUUGCUUACUAGUGGAAGAAAAGAGACAAACAAAGUGGGCUUGGCUUGGGUGGCCAAUUUCCCCCAAUCUGUGGUAAACCCUCGCUCACGUCGUUCCUCAUGGCGGCCUCAUCCUCAUCUCUCUCUUCUUCAUCUUCUUCCUCCUCCGACGACUCUUCUUCCCACUGCCGCAGGCGUCACCACCGCAGUCGCCGAGACCGUGAUAAGGAAUCCCUCAAGAUCCGUAAGAAGACCAAGUCCCACUCCCAAUCCAAACGCCGUCGCAGGCAUAACCACCACUCCUCCGAUUCUGAUUCCUCCGUCUCUGAUCACUCCAGAAGUGAGAGUUCUUCUGAUAGUGAGCAUGAAACUUCUCAUCAUUCAAAGAGGCACAAAAAGAGCGACAGAUCAAAGAAGAACAAGGAAAAGGAUCGAAGUAAAAGGCAUCGCCAUAAGCGGCAGAAGCACAGAGUAAAAGAGAAGCAGCAUGAUGAGAGGAGCAGCAGCCCUGUGCAGCUUUCCAAGUUUUUGGCGCGAGGCAAAGAUGAUGGUGUCAAAGAUGACGGGGUCCGUCGCAGUGCUGUAUCUGGCAAGAAGAUUCUUCUGAAACUUGAAAAAACAAAGGAAGACAAGGCUGCUGAAAGCAAGAGAAAUGAACUGUUGAACUUUUUAAAUGCUAGUUUUGAUUAAGGGAUAAGAAGGUUGCUCUUUUCACCCAUAUGCAAUUUUGUUUUUGGAUUUGGUUGGUGAGUCAUGCUAAGCUUGUUUUAGUAAUUUGUGGUUCUGGGUAGGUGUAGGAUUUAUUGAUUGAGUUUUCUGGAGUAGGAAGUUUUGAUCUUGAUUUUGGAGGUGAAGGAUUGGUUUUGGUGAUUGUUCUUUUUUGAAGUCUGGUUCUUCUUCUCCAUGGCUUUUGAGGAGUCUGAGCAUGUGAUCUCGGAGCUGGAAAGGGAUGAGAAUUUGAUUGCUGCAACAAGGCAUAUUGUGAAGGCAUUAGGUUCAAAUAAGCACCUUACUAGUGAUGCCAAGAAAGUUCUGGCGCGCAGAUCUUGGCUCACAGUUGUCCUCCAUGACCAUGCCGAGCGAGAAGGAGGAGAGGAAGCAAGGGCGAAAGAACGAUGAUAUCGACGAGGAUGACAAGGAGGAGGAGGAGGAGGAGGAGGAGGAGGAGGAGGAGGGAGAAAAGGAAGAGGGCAUUAGUGUUGUUGAUCAAAGGCUUGGUGAAAUUGGAGAAAAUAAUGAGAUGGGAGGAAGAUCAUGAUUUGGGAUUUGGGGCUUGAAGAAGCAUCUGAAUAUCUGGAUUUGGGAUUUGAGGUUUUGUUUUCUGGGUUUGAUGAUGAUAUGAUGUUGAAGAUGAUAAGAUGAUGAUUUUAAAUUUUUUUUUUGAUGAUCUGUUCAUGAAUGAGAUGAUGAAGAAAAAUGAAAGUUUUUAUCAUGUUCAAUUAUUUUUUCUGGGUAAGAUGAUGAGGAGGAAGAAGAUGAUGGAGAUAUUGAAACUCUUCUGAUUUGGGGUCAGGGACUAAAUUGAAGUUUUUAAAGUUUUUCCUAAUAUUUAAAUCCAUGUGGCAAGUCCAUUAAGGCACUUAACGUGCCAAAUCAUCGUCUCCGUUAACGUUCACUAACGGGAGCAGAGGCAGGGACUAACAUGAUCGACGUUUGCCAACUUCAGGGACUACGGGCUACAUUUCCUUAGAAUAGGGACUAAAUUGCCCGACGCCUGUAACUUUAGGGACCAAAGUGACCAUUCACCCGAAAGUAAUGCUUCAUUAUUUCAUUUUCAAAACAUCCUCCAAAAUCCAAAGUAAUAUAAACAAAAAUAAUAUGAGAAAUGCUUGAAACAUUAUAUUUAACACAUUUUUUACAACACACUUUUCACCAGUUGAAAUUCAUGAGAUCCAACAAAUCAUAUUAUAUACUCGGUGUAUGGUUACACCAUGUAUUUUCCUAAUGUAAGCUAGAAUCUUCUGAUAUCACUUCUACCACUUCCAACUUGAUGGAACAUAUAUGAAUUUCAACUGAGGAGAGUGUUGCUAACAAGCCUCAAAGUAUAUUUAUGUAUUACCUUGAAAUAAGAUUGGCCAGCACCAGCAAUGAAGUCGACUUCACCUUGAAUGUAGCAAUCUUUAAAGUAAUGGCGUCCAUUUGCAGCCAUCAGAGUGUCUUGAUAACCCAAGAAACUACACUUGUAGAAGUAAGAUUGGUCUCCAUAUACAACAGCUGCCGCUGCUGGUUCAAUUUUCGUUCUUGUACCCGAAUCAAUACCAGCUUGAAUCGUUUUGAAAUCUCCUUUGCCACGUCGAUCGAUAGUGAGAGUUUUUGCAACUUGGUUUCCACCACAAUUCAUGGCCGUACCAAGACAAAAGUGGCCAAUAAUAAGCAGGAUUACAGGGAAAAUCAUUAGUUGAGGAAGAUUUAGAAGAACUUCCAUUGUGUAUGUGUUUGAAUGAUGGAACCUUAAAAUCCAAUUUCAUGUAUAAAUGCACUUUUUGAAAUUAAA